rnacentral:lncRNA from 1 species
AUUUGUUUCAAAUAAACCAAAAGCACUGAGACAAAGAAAAUGAAAUAUUGUUCACUCUGUCUUUCUGUAUUAGUGGUACACAUUAUAAGUUAGUUGUCUUUUAAUUGGAAAAGAUACAUCAAAGAAACAUGAAAAAUGAUCUGAGUCUAAGCUUAUUUUUAUUGAUUAAAUCUUGAUUACAUUGCUCAGACAUACAAACCUUAUGCAUAUUUUCUGAGAACUUUUCAAAAUUAGCUUGAGUGGUAUCUGAAAAUGUUAAGGAGAAAAUUUUGUCUCUUUUCACUUGUGAUUAACUUGAUCAAUGUAUUCUCCCAACAUUAAUCAUUUAUUUAUAUGUCUUCAACCAAUAAUAUUCUCUGUCUCUAAAACUUUAACUCUCUGAAGAGUGACCACUCAUAAUUCAACACAUUGAACUGUGUAUUGCAAAAUCUUUUCUUCAUCAAACAAGCAAAGUGCUCAAGAACCCAAAUAAUAGACUAGCAUAUGAAAACUUAUUAGCAAGUAUCUUCUGCCACUGGUCAGAUGUGUGACCAGAAUUGUUCUAAUCAACUCUGGACUUUCAGCCAACAACUUAAGAAAGGAAUGUAGCACAGGAAGUAUCCAUGUUAUAGGUUCAUUUCUCAAAUCAGAAGGAAAAUUGUAGAUUCUGGGCUUGCAAUUGGAGAAAGCCUGCUUUCCAAGAAAAAAAAAAAAAAGAAAAAAGCAGAAUUGUAGAUUCUGCUUCUGAUUUGAGAUCUGGGAUAGUACCUAUAGAAGUGGUGAAAUAAGUGGGUUUGCAAUUAAACUUAAUUGGUUUUACUCUUGAUUCUGCCACUUACUGGCUAUUUGAUCUUGAACAAGUUGUUUCAACUUCCUAAGCAUUAAUUUUCUUCAUCUGUAAACCUGAUAAAUAAUGAUGCCUACGUAUAAGGUUGCUAUGUGGGUUAAGUAAGGUAAUGCAACUAAAUGGUCCAGUAUAAUGCACAUACAAAAGCUCAGAAGUAAUGCAAUUAAGGUGUUUAGUAUUAAUAUGUAAAGCAUUUAGUGUUAACAGGAAAAAUAUUUAGUAUGAUGCACAUCAUAAAUUGAAAA